rnacentral:rRNA from 1 species
UACGGGGGGGGGCAAGCGUUGUUCGGAAUUACUGGGCGUAAAGGGCUCGUAGGCGGCCAACUAAGUCAGACGUGAAAUCCCCCAGGCUCAACCUGGGAACUGCGUCUGAUACUGGAUGGCUUGAAUUCGGGAGAGGGGAUGCAGAAUUCCAGGUGUAGCGGUGAAAUGCGUAGAUAUCUGGAGGAAUACCGGUGGCGAAGGCGGCAUCCUAGACCGACAUUGACGCUGAUGAGCGAAAAGCUAGGGGAGCAAACGGG